GAGAAGAGUAGCUGAACAAGAAAGCAUGAGUGAGAUCGUUUAGCAAAUCAAAGAACAAGUGAUGAACCUCGCUCGUCGACCUACUACUUCGGCUCCCGAUGACACCGAUGACACCGACGACGAGAGUGAUGAGGAUGAUUAUGUAGAUCUCACUCCCUAGUUUAGAUCUCUGGACAUUUAUGAACUUUUUGAAAUUUUAAAACGAAUUUUAAAAGACUUUAUAAGUCUUUAAUUUAUGAUUUAGAUACUUUUGAAUGUUAUUUU
rnacentral:lncRNA from 1 species